rnacentral:lncRNA from 1 species
CUUAAUUUAGUGCAAGACAAAAUAAUGCAAGAGACUAGUGUCCCAGCAUUAAAACAGGGACUUGAAACUUUAAAGCCUGACUACAGUGAACAAAAGGGAACUCGAGUAGAUGGUUCGAAGCCUAUUUGGAAAUACGAAACUGGACCUGGAGGAACAAGUCGUGGAAAACCUGCUAUGGGUGACAUAAUUCGUAAAAGUUCAGAUAUUAAACCUGGUCUGAGUAGCAAAAAGUUUGAUGAUCGGCCCAAAGGAAAGCAUGCCUCAGCUGCUGCCUCCAAAGAGGACUCGUGGACCUUGUUUAAACCACCCCCAGUUUUUCCAGUGGACAAUAGCAGUGCAAAAAUAGUUCCUAAAAUAAGUUAUGCAAGCAAAGUUAAGGAAAACCUCAACAAAACUGUACAGAACUCCUCUGUGUCACCAACUUCAUCUUCAUCAUCAUCAUCUACUGGGGAAACUCAGACCCAAUCCUCAAGUCGGUUAUCCCAGGUCCCCAUGUCAGCUCUGAAAUCUGUUACUUCUGCCAGUUUUUC